UCCAGUUAUGGCGAUUACACCAGUUUAGGCGCAUGCUCAUCUGUCUAAUGCUACGUGGGAAAUGAAGUUCUUCAAUCUAUACAGCUGAUGCACAAUUGAGAGGAUCCUGUCGGGCUGCAUCACCACCUGGUAACGGCAACUGCACUGCCCAUAACCGCAGGGCUCUCCAGAGUAUGGUGCGGUCUGCACAACACAUCACCCGGGGCAAACUACCUGUCCUCCAGCACCCGACGUCACAGCAAGGCCACUGCCAGUUCUUAUUUAAAACAUUUCUUUUUACCCCUUUUUUCUUUUUCUAAUACAUUUGCAAACAUUUCUAAACCUGUUUUCGCUUUGUAUUGUGUUGAGUGAAAAAAUAAAUUAUCAAUUUUAGAAUAAAGCGUACCAAUUUCGUGUAGUUACAGUUUUGUCUCAUCACUGCAACUCCCGUACGGACUCAGGAGAGGCAAAGGUCGAGAGCCUCCUCAUCCUCCGAAACACAACCCAGCCAAGCCGCACUGUGCACCUGGCGACCGUGUCAGCGUGCAUUGCGCCCGGCCCGCCACAGGAGUCGUUAGUGCGCGAUGGGACAAGAACAUCCCUGCCGACCAAACCCUCCCCUAACCCGGACGACGCUGGGCCAAUUGUGUGCAGCCCCAUGGGUCUCCCGGUUGCGGCUGGCUGCGACAGAGCCUGGACUCGACCCAGGAUCUCUAGUGGCACAGCUAGCACUGCAUAGCGGUGCCUUAGACCACUGCGCCACUUGGGAGGCCCCACUGCCUGUUCACCCCGCUACCAUCCAGAAGGCGAAGUCAGUACAGGUGCAUCAAAGCUGAGAGCGAGAGACUGAAAAACAGCUUCUAUCUUAAGGCCAUCAGACUGUUAAACAGCCAUCACUAACACAGUGAGGCUGCUGCCUACAUACAGACUUGAAAUCAUUGGCCACUUUAAUAAAUGGAUCACUAGUCACUUUAAUAAUGUUUACAUAUCUUGCAUUACUCAUCUCAUAUGUAUAUACUGUAUUUUAUUAUAAUAAUCUUGCCUAUGCCGCUCAGUCAUUGCUUAUCCAUUUAUUUAUAUGUAUAUAUUAUUAUUCCAUUCCUUUACUUAGAUUGUGUGUAUUAGGUAGUUGUUGUGGAAUUGUUGGAUUUCUUUCUAUUGUUGCACUGUCAGAACUAGAAGUACAAGCAUUUCGCUACACUCGCAAUAACAUCUGCUAACCAUGUGUAUGUGACCAAUAAAAUGUGAUUUUGAUUUGAUCAAGGAUCUCUCUGUACUUUGCUCCGUUCAUCUUUCCAUCGAUCCUGACCAGUCUCCCAGACCCUGCCACUGAAAAACAUCCCCACAGCAUGAUGCUGCCACCACCAUGCUUCACCGUAGGGAUGGUGCUAGGUUUCCUCCAGACGUGACGCUUGGCAUUCAGGCGAAAGAGUUCAGUCUUAGUUUCAUCAGACCAGAAUCUUGUUUCUCAUGGUCUGAAGAGUCCUUUAGGUGCCUUUUGGCAAACUCCAAGUGGGCUGUCAUGUGCCUUUUACUGAGGAGUGGCUUCCGUCUAGCCACUCUACCAUAAAUGCGUGAUUGGUGUGGCGCUGCAGAGAUGGUUGUCAUUCUGGAGGAUUCUCCCAUCUCCACAGAGGAACUCUGGAGCUCUGUCAGAGUGACCAUCGGGUUCUUGGUCACCUCCUUGACCAAGGCCCUUCUCCCCCGAUUGCUCAGUUUGGCCUGCCGGCCAACUCUAGUUAGUCUUGGUGGUUCCAAACUUCUUCCAUUUAAGAAUGAUGGAGGCCACUAUGUUCUUGGGGACCUUUAAUGCUGCAGACAUUUUUUGGUAUCCUUCCCCAGAUCUGUGCCUCGACACAAUCCUGUUUCGGAGCUCAACGGACAGUUCCAUCAACCUCAUGGCUUGGUUUUUGCUUUAACAUGCACUGUCAACAGGUGUGUGCCUUUCCAAAUCAUGUCCAAUCAAUUGAAUUUACCACAGGUGAACUCCAAUCAAGUUGUAGAAACAUCAAGGACAAUCAAUGGAAACAGGAUGCACCUGAGCUCAAUUUCGUGUCUCAUAACAAAGGUUCUGAAUAAUUAUGUACAUAAGCUAUUUCUGUUUUUAUUUUUAAUACAUUUGCAAACAUUCCUAAACCUGUUUUCGCUUUGUCAUUAUGAGGUAUUGUGUGUAGAUUGAGUGAAAUUACAUUUUAAUCAAUUUUAGAAUAAAGCUGUAACGUAACAAUGUGAAAA